UACGUAGGGUGCAAGCGUUAAUCGGAAUUACUGGGCGUAAAGCGUGCGCAGGCGGUUUGUAAGUUUGUCGUGAAAGCCCCGGCUCAACCUGGGAAUGGCCGUUGAAACUGGCGAACUGGAGUGUGGCAGAGGGGGUGGAAUUCCGCGUGUAGCAGUGAAAUGCGUAGAGAUGCGGAGGAACACCGAUGGCGAAGGCAGCCCCCUGGCUGACACUGACGCUCAGGCACGAAAGCGUGGGGAGCAAACAGG
rnacentral:rRNA from 1 species